CACGCAUUUGUGUACCCAAAAAUAGAAGUUAGCUUGUGGUUUAGAGAGAGAAGCUCUCACUGGGUGGGGGAAACCCCACCCGGCCGCCUCAUUGCGUGACUGGUUCGGGGUCUUUCUUCGCUGCAUCUUCUUGAAUCUAUUCAGGAGUUGCAGGUUGCUGGGAUUUGCAGUCCUUAGCAGUGGUCUUCGCUAUUCGUAGCUGUGCGUUUGCCUCGUCUCUUAGCAACGGGAUUUUGUUUCGUUCUCAUAUGAUGCCGUUCGGCUCGUGUUUCACGACGGGGGUAGUGGAGGUCUGUCAGAUCUCAGCUGUUUCUUUCCGUUUUGCGCAUGCUGGUCAUCGCGUUUGUGCUCUGCUGCACCUGUGGAGCGGUGUUCUCUGAUGGGUGAUUUUCUUUCCCCAUUUGCUUUGUUCAGAUCUGGUUUGCCGAGAUCUGGAUGGGUUCGCGCAUGGGUUGCUGAAAUCUUACCAUGUCGCAUCUGAGUUGCAGCGAUCUGGGAUCUGAUGCUGCUUGCUGGUUUUUGUGCUGGUUCUUGCCCAGAUCUAGAGCUGGGUUCAAAUCGGUGCAAGAGUAUAGCAGAUUUGGGUUGCGCUUUUUCUCAGAUUCAUUAUUUGAUUUUGUGAGAUUUCGAUGCUGGAUCUGAAAAUGUCGCGUUCAUUUGUUCCGUUCGCAUCUGGGUUACUUUGUUUCAGUUUUCCUUUUAAAUUUGGGGUUCCGCCGAAUUUAAGGAUUAUUGAUUUCGCUGUACCUGAGGAUGUAUUUCAAGCUAUAUUUUCUGUGCGCGAUGGGCUCUGAAUCUGUUCGGCCUGUUCCAUAUCGUUGCAUGAGUAUAGCAGGUUGCUUUUCCGUUUUUGAGCUCUGCUUGCUGGAUGAUUUUUCCGAUUGGGGUUUUCGAUUGAAGGCUGAUUGCGGUAUUGAGGGGUCGCGAUUGGUCAUUUCGGAUGGGAUCCACUCGAUUGGGAUGCGAAGGCGAGUUGGUAGUUCUGUUUCGGUGGUUGUUCGCUGGUUGGAUUCUCUAAUGGUUGUUCCGAUUGGGGUCGGAUCGUGAGGUGGAUUUCUGCUUGACGAGUCCCUCGUUGCGGAAUGGGGCUUCUUCUUGGGGGUUCCGGUUGGGAUUUUCUGCUAGCUUUGGCUGUCCGCAGGUUGGUUCUCUUUGUUUGAGGCCGAUCUGUGUGUUGGGUCUUCUGCUAGAUGGCCGCUUGCUGGUUGGAUUUUUCUGAUUGAAUUCCUAUCUUUUGUCCGCGGUGUGGGUUCUCUGAUUGUGGUCUUUGCGUUGCGUGAUGGGCUUCCUUAAUUGGGGUCCGUUUGGGGUCUUCUUCUAGCAAGGUUUGAUCGCAGGUUGUUCGCUGGUUGGAUUCUCUAAUGGUUGUUCCGAUUGGGGUCGGAUCGUGAGGUGGAUUUCUGCUUGACGAGUCCCUCGUUGCGGAAUGGGGCUUCUUCUUGGGGGUUUCGGUUGGGAUUUUCUGCUAGCUUUGGCUGUCCGCAGGUUGGCUCUCUUUGUUUGAGGCCGAUCUGUGUGUUGGGUCUUCUGCUAGAUGGCCGCUUGCUGGUUGGAUUUUUCUGAUUGAAUUCCUAUCUUUUGUCUGCGGUGUGGGUUCUCUGAUUGUGGUCUUUGCAUUGCGUGAUGGGCUUCCUUAAUUGGGGUCCGUUUGGGGUCUUCUUCUAGCAAGGUUUGAUCGCAGGUUGUUCGCUGGUUGGAUUCUCUAAUGGUUGUUCCGAUUGGGGUCGGAUCGUGAGGUGGAUUUCUGCUUGACGAGUCCCUCGUUGCGGAAUGGGGCUUCUUCUUGGGGGUUCCGGUUGGGAUUUUCUGCUAGCUUUGGCUGUCCGCAGGUUGGCUCUCUUUGUUUGAGGCCGAUCUGUGUGUUGGGUCUUCUGCUAGAUGGCCGCUUGCUGGUUGGAUUUUUCUGAUUGAAUUCCUAUCUUUUGUCCGCGGUGUGGGUUCUCUGAUUGUGGUCUUUGCAUUGCGUGAUGGGCUUCCUUAAUUGGGGUCCGUUUGGGGUCUUCUUCUAGCAAGGUUUGAUCGCAGGUUGUUCGCUGGUUGGAUUCUCUAAUGGUUGUUCCGAUUGGGGUCGGAUCGUGAGGUGGAUUUCUGCUUGACGAGUCCCUCGUUGCGGAAUGGGGCUUCUUCUUGGGGGUUCCGGUUGGGAUUUUCUGCUAGCUUUGGCUGUCCGCAGGUUGGCUCUCUUUGUUUGAGGCCGAUCUGUGUGUUGGGUCUUCUGCUAGAUGGCCGCUUGCUGGUUGGAUUUUUCUGAUUGAAUUCCUAUCUUUUGUCCGCAGUGUGGGUUCUCUGAUUGUGGUCUUUGCGUUGCGUGAUGGGCUUCCUUAAUUGGGGUCCGUUUGGGGUCUUCUUCUAGCAAGGUUUGAUCGCAGGUUGUUUCUCUUCCUGAUUGGAAUUUUCAGUUGGGUCUGUCCAUGGAUGGGGGGGGUCCGUUUGGGCAGGUUCGGUUGGGGCUCAUCAUCGAUUGGGGUCUGCCUGCGUGUUGGGAAUUCCAAUCAAUGGCUGUUGGCUGUUUGCUGCGUCCAUGAAUUGUUGGUUUUUCUGCUCUUUAUUGCUGCUGGUUCAUGCGUGGGGUGGUGGUUAAUGUGAUCUUUAGCUGGAUCUGGCAUUUCCUGCUUUGAUCGUCUUUUUUCCUUACGCGUGAUGGAUUCGGAAGCUGUUCGGUGUGAAAUUUCAAUGGAUUCUUGUGUGGAAGCAGGUUGGAUUUUCCGUAUUGGUAUCUGCUCGGUUGAUGGACUUUCAAGUCUCCUUCUGGGUUGCAGGACGCUCGCUUGUGUCCAUGGUAACUGCUGUUUUGUGCAAAGCUUCCGAUGGUGGACGAGUUGAGGCUCACAGGCUGUGUUCUCUGGUCUGGGGUUCUCUCGAAAUGGGUCUGUUCUCGGAGAGCUGGAUCCGAUUGAUCAGUCCGGUUCGGGGGAUCCUGGAUUGGGUUCUGUCCGUGUGUUGCGGGGGUUUCUGCUCGAUCGUUGCUCGCGGGUUGGGAUCCUUGAUUUGGGUAUCCGAUUGAUGUGGGUUUUCUGAUUGGGCUUCCAGAAUUGUUGCGUGAUGACCAGAUCUGGAUCGCGCUGGUGCUCCAAGUCAACUAGCUGGUCUCCUGCAGAUAAUUUCGUGGUGGGUUUCAUUGUGUCUUGCAGGCCAUUGGCUUCUGCGUUGGGUCUUUUCAUUGUUUCAUCCUGGGUAUGCCCAGUGAUAUCUUGUACACUUUUUGAUCUAUACACAUAUUUACCUUUGAUAAAAAUAACAAAUAAAAAAAUAGAAGUAAUGCUUCAAUAUUUUCCUCAA